rnacentral:lncRNA from 7 species
AGCGCCAGAGCUGUAAAGGCAUCGCUGCAGUUCUGCUCUGACACCCGGACCCAGCACUGCAGAAAGAAUCUCAGCGCUUGGCAGCCCACUUCCUGAAGUCAGAAACAAAUAACCUACAUUUACUGCAAAUGGUAUCGAGACGGCAGAGCUCUGAUAUCACGGAGUCAACGAUCUGGUCAAGUGGGAAAGAUAGAUGGGACACUUCCCCUUCCCAUUUAUAAAUCCCAGCACAAGAGACAAAAAACAAAAACCCGCGGCCUUUUCCUGCCCCGAGCUGACAGUUCUGCUCCUCGAGAGAGAUGCCUCCGCUCUAUUUCAGAAAGCAACAAAAAAUCAUUACGUAUAAAGCACUGCAGCCGAGCUGCUCCUCGCUAAGGGGGCAUAUCGGCGUUUUAAAACAUUUACUUGAAAACAUCAUCGGAGCUCAAACUUAAUUGAAAUGCUGAAGCUUUGUUUGCUCCCUCGCUCCAGCACAGCUGAAACAACAAAACCAGUCGGACAGCUUUUCCCCUUCGGUCAGGUAUGCGCUGAACGAGCGAUUUGAGCUCGGGGCCGGGAGCAGCGCUGCACCCACGGCUCAGCCCGGCCCGGACCCUUCCAUCCCUCCCGGCCAUCCCCGGCAGCUCCCGCCGUGACGGUGCGGGCUCGGACGGGUCGUGCCUCUGCUCCGAGGUCAGACAGACCGUGCUGCGAAAACACAACCGGUGCAGCCUAUUGCAGAACUCGAAAAGGUUUACAGAGCAGCGUUUAAGCUUUCUGCCUCAGCGAUGUGUGCGUACAAAGGGACCGCGUUCUGUUCUCGCAUUAAAGCUCCCCUUUCACAUAAACGAGGGCUGCUCGUUAUAUUCCCCUCCCCGUUGUUUGUUCUCUGGAUAAAUUAAAUUUCUGAAAUU